GUGAAUCCAAAGCGCUUUAGUUCCGAGAAAAUCUCCUCGUCCGUUAACUGCGUUGACGCCAUCUUGUUAAAAAAAAAAUGGAGCCAGCCGUGUGACGGAAAUGACGUAGAGGGAAAUUUCAGACACACAAGAAAAGAGUUUCAAGAAUGAAGAGCUGGACAGCACCAGGCUGCUACAUGAUCUACACCUACUGGCCAAAGAAGCUAACUGCACUCCAUGGACGUCUAGCAGCAGAAAUGAACUAGCUGCUAAAGGAUGGGAAACUGUGGGACCAAGUCCAGACUGAUAAAAUAGUGGUGGUCAAUUAAUCAGAUAUUGUGAUGGUUGAUAAACUGCAAAAGAAGCAGUAGCGACAGAUGUAGCAAUCCCAAGUGACAGCAACAUCAAGAGGAAAGAGCAUGAAAAGCUUGAAAAAGGUGAUCUAUAUGUCAGGGUAGAGACUGCGAUUUGGUAGAAUUGGAGUUUCUACCAGUAGAGUUUGCGAUUGUAAUCUCUACCAGUAGAGAUGGAACUUUAAAUCUGACCCCUGCCCUGACCCCUGACCCUAAGCUUAACUAACCCUGACCUUUAAAUCCGACCCCUGCCCUGACCCCUGCCCCUAACCUUAACUGACCCUGACCUUUUAAUCUAACCCCUGCCCUGACCCCUGACCCUAACCUUAACUGACCCUGACCUUUUAAUCUAACCCCUGCCCUGACCCUAACCUUAAAAGUCUAACCUUAGCCCUGACAAAUCUCUACUGGUAGGAUUGGAGUUUCUACUGGAAGAGAUUGCGAUCGCAAUCUCUACUGGUAGAGACUCCAAUUCUACCAAAUCGCAGUCUCUACCAUGAUAUAUAUAUGUCAGGGUAGAGACUGCGAUUUGGUAGAGUGGUGUAAUGUGAUGACUGGAAAGUGAUAGAAUUUUGAAUCAUUUGACAUUUAAGUGAUCUUGUACAUGAAUAGACUCACGCCUGUAGUGUACUGUAGAUGACAUCAGGGGUGUAGUACAAAAUUCAUAGAAAUACAUAAGCAAUAUGGCACCCUUCCUGUUUUCAUCUAUCACUCAUGUAUCUUUUGGAAUGUUUUUAUGUUUUUUAAAUAAGUAAUUAAACUAUGCACAUUCA